rnacentral:rRNA from 1 species
CCUACGGGAGGCAGCAGUGGGGAAUAUUGGUCAAUGGAGGAAACUCUGACCCAGCAACGCCGCGUGAAUGAUGAUGGUCUUCGGAUUGUAAAGUUCUUUUCUACGGGAAGAAGAAAGUGACGGUACCUUAGGAAUAAGCCUCGGCUAACUACGUGCCAGCAGCCGCGGUAAUACGUAGGAGGUGAGCGUUAUCCGGUAUGACUGGGCGUAAAGGGUGCGUAGGUGGUUUGGCAAGUUAGUAGCGUAACUCCAAGGCUCAACGUUGGAACUACUACUAAGACUGUUGGACUUGAGUGCAGGAGGGGCAGCCGGAAUGUGUAGUGUAGCGGUGGAAUGCAUAGAUAUUA